rnacentral:rRNA from 1 species
UACAGAGGGUGCAAGCGUUAAUCGGAAUUACUGGGCGUAAAGGGCGCGUAGGUGGUUAUUUAAGUCAGAUGUGAAAUCCCUGGGCUUAACCUAGGAAUUGCAUUUGAAACUAGAUGGCUAGAGUAUGGUAGAGGGAAGUGGAAUUUCCGGUGUAGCGGUGAAAUGCGUAGAUAUCGGAAGGAACACCAGUGGCGAAGGCGAACUUCCUGGACCAUUACUGACACUGAGGCGCGAAAGCGUGGGGAGCGAACAGG